GAAUGGUUUAAUGAGGGCACGACUGUCUCCUGCAGCUAGUCAAUGAAAUUGAUAAUUCAGUACAAAUGCUGAAAUAUUAACACAAGACGAGAAGACCCUGUGGAACUUUUAACUAACCUGCCAGCAGUAAUCAACCAACCAACCACCCCUAGCAGACAGUUUAAGUUGGGGCAACUACGGAGCACAAUAAAACCUCCAUGAAACACGAAUACCAUUCGUUACCAAGGCCCACACGCCAACACAUUAAGCUUGACCCAGUAAAACUGAAUUUCGAACCAAGCUACCCCAGGGAUAACAGCGCAAUCCCCUUCAAGAGUCCCUAUCGCCAAGGGGGCUUACGACCUCGAUGUUGGAUCAGGACACCCCGGCGGUGCAGCCGCUGCCAAAGGCUCGUUUGUUCAACGAAUAAUGUCCU
rnacentral:rRNA from 1 species